CUUUGUCUGGGCCGAGCGGGGCGCGGGGCGGGCGGGAGGACGGCGGGAGCCUGCUGCGGGGCGCCGGGCCCCGAGGGAGGAGCGCGGCGCCGCGGCGGCAGGAAGCCAGAGGAAAAUAUCUACCAUUGAUCAAGGGAUCUUUGAACCCGCUGAAUUCUUGAUUGUAUUCGGUCAUUGUUCGCAGUAUUAAUCCUGCUGAAAGGUGAUGAGCUGACAUCUGCCAGGAGGGAUGCCGGCACCACGCGCGUGAGCCGAGCAGGCUGCAGGCGAGCCGGGGCACAGGCGCCCUGGGCGCCUCGCGCCAACGCUGCACGUAGUGCCCCAAAACACCAACAAGUAGCUUCGCUUGUACGGCUUGGCAGCGCGGUGCUGGAUGCCAAAAACACGCUGUGCCCUUCCCGGGGAAAUCGCUGGGCCCUGCUGCCUGGUCUGGCGUGGCCGCGAGCGCCGGGGAGGAGGGGAGACACAUAUCGAAAACAAGGGAGAUGUUACUUCUCCUUUUCUUUGCUUUCCUGUCUUUACUACAGCACAGUGCUAUUUGCAGAUUUCGAGGUGGUAUCUUGUUUUCAGGGUAGCGAGGCUCGUCCUACUCUUUCCCUGCUUAUCUACUAAACUAUCAAAACUUACAA